GUUUAUUCUUAUUUUUUUCACAAGUGAAGUGCGAAUCCAAGUCCGAAGCUGUGAAGCAUAUCAGCAAAGAGUAGCAUAUUAUGUGUUGUAAUUGUAGGCAGUAGUAGGCUUAUUUGGGCUGUAGUAUAAUGUAACUAUUGUAAUAGACUAUUGUAGUGUUGUUUUGGACGAAUUCCGUUUUCUCUUUGGAUUGUUCAAAAUAAUGAUUGUGUAUGUGAUUUGAAUACCCUAGUAAUGGUAACUUGGAAAAGGGGUUCAAGUUAUAAUGGUUGUUUGGCAUAUUUUGAAA
rnacentral:lncRNA from 1 species